rnacentral:lncRNA from 1 species
UGCGAUUUAGUCGCUGCAUAUUUUGCAUAAAAAAAACGAGGACACGUUGCACCGUUGAGAGGCCCUUCCGUUACUGAUCUUUAUUCUGUGGUAAAGCCAAUGUCUAUGGAAGCCCAAAGUUGUUUGCUAAUUUAAUUACAACUCUAUAUUCACGCUGUGUAUCGAAUAUUAGGACACUUUCCUCUAUUUUUAUCAUUUUUACGGUAAGUGUUGCUAGAACAUAUAUAUUACGCUCCCCUUCACUAAAUAAAGAUGCCUAGUGGAUUUUGUAAAUAUAUAUAUAUAUAUAUAUAUAUAUAUAUAUAUAUAUAUAUAUAUAUAUAUAUAUAUAUAUAUAUAUAUAUAUAUAUAUAUAUAUUUAUAUAUUCAACAGGCUGUUGUGCAUCAUAAGCGUAGCUAAACAGUUCGAUUUUUACAUAGGAAGAAAGAGCUGUUAUUUAGCUUUUCUAUGACACCUUGGUGUUUAUGUUUCGUUUUCGAUGCAAUUCCCAAGAAUGUGAUUUCGACCAGCAAUUUUUAUUUGAUGAGUAUGUGGCCAUUUCUCAUCGUUACGACUUAAAAAGAGUAUCAUUGAAAAGCUAAAUAACUGUUCUUUCUUCCUAUGUAAAAAUUGAAUUGUUUAGCCUCGUUUAUGAUGAACGACAGCCUGUUUAAUUUCCGUAGCGUUUUUUUUCAGACACCCUGUAUAUAUAUAUAUAUAUAUAUAUAUAUAUAUAUAUGUAUAUAUAUAUAUAUAUAUAUAUAUAUAUAUAUAUAUAUAUAUAUAUAUAUAUAUAUAUAUAUAUAUAUAUAUAUAUAUAUAUAUAUAUAUAUAUAUAUAUAUAUAUAUAUAUAUAUAUAUAUAUAUAUAUAUUACUAGACGCAUUGGAGUCAUCUAAGAAUAAAACAAGAUUUCAUCGUCUUUAGAAACCCGAGGAGUUGUUCCCUACGUUAUUGAAGAAAACUCGGCUUUGAAAAAGCUAUAACACUAUCGUGUUGUGAAUUAGCACUUGUUUUUUUCUCUUUUCACUUUGUAUACGGUAAGUGUCAAUUCAGAUUUUUAGUGUUUUUAGUAUUUCGAUUUGAUUUCGCCAAAUUAAAGUUGAUUAAUAAAAUGUAUUAUAUUGAUAUUAUCAUUGAAUUUACCCCUUAACGAGUAAAAUCGUCUGGCAUUCGACAGACUAUACCGAUAGGAUGAAAGCCGUGCAAUGCAACUUAAUCGGUUAACGAGACACAUGCCAUGGGCAGAUAUUACUUUGAUGAACCCAUUGAGCUAGCUGGUGCGCUCUCAUCUUGACGAGUAUACAAUCGUCUGGCAUUAAACAAAGACAUGCAGUACGUAAAAUAAUAAAGUAUAUAGGGCCCUUUGCAACUUAAUCAAAUAAUUUAUUGCAGAUCGAAUUAGAGACUAUCGGAUCCACAUUAUCAGUUCUCCUGUCAAUUUAAAUCUCGGCAGGGUUCAGGGACUGGAUUUAGAAAAGUUUUGAACUAAGACUUAACUUAAGGCCGUUCUUCAUCCGUGCGUAUACAGUUAUUUCAAUUAAAGUUGUCCAUGCAUACACGAGCAAAGCGGAAAAGUCGAAUAUGAGCGGAAAAGUCGAAUACGAGCGCGGAAAAGUCGAAUACGAGCGCGAAAGGCUGCUGGGAAUCGCUAAUAAAUUCCUGGGAAUCGCUAAUAAAUUCAUUCAUUUAUUAGCGAUUCCCAGCAUGCAGCCUUUCGCGCUCGUAUUCGACUUUUUCGCUUUGCUCGGGGGACAACCUUGAUUGAAAUAGCUGUACACGCACGGAAAAGUUUAAAUCCAUGCAAUUAGAGUUUCUUGUGAAAUAACUAAUUGAAUAAAACCAUAGCAUCUAGACGGUAUAGGCCUAUAUAUACCAGUCACCUUUGAGCGCGAUGUUAUAGUUAAUGUUAUCAUACUUUAAUAUAUAAUCUUCGUUCACUGUACAAAAUACACGCACGCCAUUGGUCAAAAUCGAUCACGUGUGUUUUUGUUACCUGGCAACAACGAAUUCGGCGAGUGCACUAUUGACAAUAACGCAUAAAAAACGUGCAUUAUUGAAAAUGGCUUCCCGCAAGGCUGUCGGUUCAAGGUUUACACGAGUCAGUGAAGACGAAAUUAAAUCAAAUUGUACAUAAUGCAGUGUCUAAAAGUAUAAAAAGCCAAACAAACUGGUGCAACAAGGUAAAUAAACGAAGCAAAAGCUGACUUUUCACGAUUUUGUCGCGUGUAAAAUUCCUGCUUAAAAAGUUUAGUUGGGUUUUUCAUUGUAUUCGCUGUCUUGUUUUAAAAACAGUUGUACGCAAUUAUUUUGCAAUGUACUUAAAAUUAGACUAUUGGCAAAAACUUAUGAUGAAAAUGUGUUAGUAAAUGUUCUUUUCCAAACUGGAAUUGCUUUGUUUUAAUUUAAUUUAAUUUUGUUUUGUUUUGUCUACAAAAGGCGUACAGUAAUUGCAUGCAAGCAGUGAACUCAAAUAAUAUAUUAAAUGGGUUAGAGACUUUAAGUUCGUGUUUUGUUUACAAAUACAUGCACUUGCUGACUGUACAAUGAACUCGAAAUUUUCAAUACUGCACUCGGCUUCGCCUCGUUCAGAAUUGAAAAUUUCUCGUUCAUUGUACAGUCAGCUCGUGCAUGUAUUUGUAAACAAAACACUCACAUCAGUCUCUAACCCUUAAAUAACAAAGUAUUUCUUCUCUGUCAAUAACAAUGACAGAGUUACCGCUCAAACUUACCUCAGUUUUCCCCAAGUGUCAGCACUUCUGAACUGUCGACUUCAUCUGCUGCCCUGUGAAGCCUCCAAGAGAAUUAACCCAACAAUAGCGUGAUUUCAUCAUUUUCAUUCUUUCCACUUUCUAUAGAAACAAAUUAGAAUAUUCAUAUACAUAACAUGGACGGUGGAUCUUACCCGAUGCAAAACAAAUCUCGGCAAGUACAGGGCGGCCAUAUGCCUUCAGCACCACCGGAUUACGUGGCGAGUGUACACCAACCAGCGGAAGGAAUUAUACAAGCGCCCGUGAUACCAUACAACAACGCGUAUGUCGAGCAGCCGAGUGGCGACACAGUUGUUCUUAUAGUAAGCACAAUAGACAAUUCCCAUUAAAGACUAAUUUUAAAACUAGGCAAGGAGAUGCAAAUAAAUCCGGCACCAGAGCUAGAAAGAGCAUACGAAAACGAGUACCAUUUUCAAAUAAAGUACCAUUUUCGGCCCAAUUGUGGUAGCAAUUUCCGCAUGCACGUAUAUAAUACAAAAGUAUACAAAAUUUGCAAACUUUGCAAGGCUAUAUUAUCCACAUUUUACAACAUUUCGCAGUCCAACAUUGCAAUUUUACUCAUUUUAGUACGCUCUUUCUAGCUGUAGUGGUUUAUUUGCAGAAUAUUGCAGUUAUAGUUUUUUCAAUUAAAAGGGCUGAAAUGCGCCUUAAAAACCAUCAAUCAAAAGCUUUUUGCGUUUCUCCAAAUUGGUGAAUACUAACCGUAACCAUGCACGAAAUGUUUUUCUUUCACAAAAUAAUUUAAAUUUAUGUUGCUUUGCAGCCCUCACAAGCAACAGCUGGAUAUAUCAGAGACCAUAUGGGUCUAUCAAUUUGUACCUGUCUCUGUUGCUUUCCGCCUGUUGGAAUCGUCGCAAUUGUGUUGUCAUGCAUGGU